ACUCCUACGGGAGGCAGCAGUGGGGAAUUUUGCGCAAUGGGGGGAACCCUGACGCAGCAACGCCGCGUGAGUGAUGAAGGCCCUUGGGUCGUAAAGCUCUGUCAGAGGGAAAGAAAUGUGGGCGGCUAAUAUCUGUACCACUUGACGGUACCCUCAAAGGAAGCACCGGCUAACUCCGUGCCAGCAGCCGCGGUAAUACGGAGGGUGCGAGCGUUGUUCGGAAUUAUUGGGCGUAAAGCGCGUGUAGGCGGCUUAUUAAGUCUGAUGUGAAAGCCCUGGGCUCAACCCAGGAAGUGCAUUGGAUACUGGCAGACUUGAAUACGGGAGAGGGUAGUGGAAUUCCUAGUGUAGGAGUGAAAUCCGUAGAUAUUGGGAGGAACACCGGUGGCGAAGGCGGCUGCCUGGACCGAUACUGACGCUGAGACGCGAAAGCGUGGGGAGCAAACAGGAUUAGAUGCCCUGGUAGUCCACGCCGUAAACGAUGAGAACUAGGUGUCGCGGGUA
rnacentral:rRNA from 1 species